UACAGAGGUGGCAAGCGUUGUUCGGAAUUACUGGGCGUAAAGGGCGCGUAGGCGGUUCGAUAAGUCCCGUGUGAAAUCCCUCGGCUCAACUGAGGAACUGCACGGGAAAACUGACGGGCUUGAGUUCGGGAGAGGGAAGCGGAAUUCCGGGUGUAGCGGUGAAAUGCGUAGAUAUCUGGAGGAAUACCGGUGCGAAGGCGGCAUCCUGGACCGACAUUGACGCUGAGGAGCGAAAGCUAGGGGAGCAAACGGG
rnacentral:rRNA from 1 species